rnacentral:rRNA from 1 species
GAUGAACGCUGGCGGCGUGCCUAAUACAUGCAAGUCGAGCGAAUGGAUUAAGAGCUUGCUCUUAUGAAGUUAGCGGCGGACGGGUGAGUAACACGUGGGUAACCUGCCCAUAAGACUGGGAUAACUCCGGGAAACCGGGGCUAAUACCGGAUAACAUUUUGAACCGCAUGGUUCGAAAUUGAAAGGCGGCUUCGGCUGUCACUUAUGGAUGGACCCGCGUCGCAUUAGCUAGUUGGUGAGGUAACGGCUCACCAAGGCAACGAGGCGUAGCCGACCUGAGAGGGUGAUCGGCAACACUGGGACUGAGACACGGCCCAGACUCCUACGGGAGGCAGCAGUAGGGAAUCUUCCGCAAUGGACGAGAGUCUGACGGAGCAACGCCGCGUGAGUGAUGAAGGCUUUCGGGUCGUAAAACUCUGUUGUUAGGGAAGAACAAGUGCUAGUUGAAUAAGCUGGCACCUUGACGGUACCUAACCAGAAAGCCACGGCUAACUACGUGCCAGCCGCCGCCGUAA